GUCCCUUCCCGGCUCCGGUGCCCGCCACCCCCACAGUCCUCCGCCACUCACUACGCGCCUCUGGAUCCCUGCGGCCGAAAUAUCGCGAGACUUCGCUCGGGGCAGCUGCUACUGUGGUAAAGAAUUCACUUUUUUACCACAGCGUGCGUAUCAGCAAGUGAACAUAAAAACGCCUCUUCUAGUCAGAAACUGGCCAAUCCCGACCCCCGGUCCACCUAGGGCUCCGCCCACCACCGAGAAUAAGCCAAUCUCUUUGAGGCUUCUACAGGAGAACGCCGUGCGUUUGAGCUUGAACCUGAUAAGCCUGGCAGAAGCCUGAUGAACCCAGAAUGAGUGAGAUGUGAGACAGAGUCUUGUUCUGUCGUGCAUGCUGGCGUACAGUGCCACAAUCACAGCUCACCGCAGCUUCCAACUUCUGGACUCACAUGAUCCUUCUGCCUCAGACUUCCAAGUACUUGGGACUACAGUCACGAAUCACCACAGCCAGCUUGGAGUGACUUUCUAAGGGAUAUUGAAGCCAUCCAUUGCUUUGUCUUCCAAGUUCAUCAGUGCCUGCACAACAUGGUAACAACAAAGUCAAAGACAUUCCAGACACUCUUCCGGAAAAAGGAAAAGCUAGGAUAGCCACAUAAGAAGGAUCUCCAGGAUGAAAAUAAACAAGAUAAACCAAGUUGCCACCUCCAAGCUCAGCUUCAAUAGCCACAGUUAGGUAUUUGUGGAUUCCAGCAAUUCUAUUUCAACCAUCAAUACGAUCAUAUUCAAAAAGAUGAGGAAGAUGAC
rnacentral:lncRNA from 1 species